GAUGAAGAACGUAGCGAAAUGCGAUAAGUAAUGUGAAUUGCAGAAUUCAGUGAAUCAUCGAAUCUUUGAACGCACAUUGCGCCCGCCAGUAUUCUGGCGGGCAUGCCUGUUCGAGCGUCAUUACAACCCUCAGGCCCCCGGGCCUGGCGUUGGGGAUCGGCGGAGCCCCCCGUGGGCACACGCCGUCCCCCAAAUACAGUGGCGGUCCCGCCGCAGCUUCCAUCGCGUAGUAGCUAACACCUCGCGACUGGAGAGCGGCGCGGCCACGCCGUAAAACACCCAACUCUUCUGAAGUUGACCUCGAAUCAGGUAGGGAUACCCGCUGAACUUAAGCAUAUCAAUAAGCGGAGGA
rnacentral:misc_RNA from 1 species